rnacentral:tRNA from 1 species
GCCGCUGUAGCUUAACGGAUUGAGCAGUCCCGUCCUAAGGGAAAGACUGGGAGUUCGAUUCUCCCCAGCGGCG